CCUACGGGUGGCAGCAGUGGGGAAUAUUGGGCAAUGGGCGCAAGCCUGACCCAGCAACGCAGCGUGAAGGAAGAAGGCUUUCGGGGUGUAAACUUCUUUUCUGAGGGACGAAGAAAGUUACGGUACCUCAGGUAUGAGCCACGGAUACCUACGUGCCCGCAGCCGCGGGAAUCCGUAGGUGGCAAGCGUUAUCCGGAUUUAUUGGGUGUAAAGGGCGUGUAGGCGGGAAAGCAAGUCAGGUGGGAAAACUCAGGGCUCAAACCUGAGCCUGCAUUUGAAACUGUUUUUCUUGAGUGCUGGAGAGGCAAUCGGAAUUCGGGGUGUAGCGGUGAAAUGCGUAGAUAUAAGGAGGAACACCAGUGGCGAAGGCAGAUUGCUGGAGAGUAACUGACGCUGAGGCGCGAAAGCGUGGGGAGCAAACAGGAUUAGAUACCCGAGUAGUC
rnacentral:rRNA from 1 species